AGCGAACGCUGGCGGCAGGCUUAACACAUGCAAGUCGAACGGGCGUAGCAAUACGUCAGUGGCAGACGGGUGAGUAACACGUGGGAACGUACCUUUUGGUUCGGAACAACUGAGGGAAACUUCAGCUAAUACCGGAUAAGCCCUUACGGGGAAAGAUUUAUCGCCGAAAGAUCGGCCCGCGUCUGAUUAGCUAGUUGGUGAGGUAAUGGCUCACCAAGGCGACGAUCAGUAGCUGGUCUGAGAGGAUGAUCAGCCACAUUGGGACUGAGACACGGCCCAAACUCCUACGGGAGGCAGCAGUGGGGAAUAUUGGACAAUGGGCGCAAGCCUGAUCCAGCCAUGCCGCGUGAGUGAUGAAGGCCCUAGGGUUGUAAAGCUCUUUUGUGCGGGAAGAUAAUGACGGUACCGCAAGAAUAAGCCCCGGCUAACUUCGUGCCAGCCGCCGCAGUAAUAC
rnacentral:rRNA from 1 species